UACGGAGGGUGCGAGCGUUGUCCGGAAUCACUGGGCGUAAAGGGCGCGUAGGCGGCCUGAUAAGUAGGGGGUGAAAUCUUGCGGCUUAACCGCAAGGCUGCCUUCUAAACUGUCAGGCUAGAGCACAGUAGAGGCAGGUGGAAUUCCCGGUGUAGCGGUGGAAUGCGUAGAGAUCGGGAAGAACACCAGUGGCGAAGGCGGUUGCCUGGAGCUUUGCUGACGCUGAGGCGCGAAAGCGUGGGGAGCGAUCCGG
rnacentral:rRNA from 1 species